rnacentral:tRNA from 1 species
GAGGAGCUGGUGAAAACAUCACAAUGCCUUGUCAAGGCAUAAUUAUGGGUUGGACCCCCGUGCACCUCC